GCUGCUGCCAAUUUUAAAAAAGACUGCAUUAAGCAACAGGAAUCAUAGGCUCUGGUAGAAUAACCCACCAGGUCCCAGAGAGCAUUCCGGAUGUUUUGAUUAAGAAUUACUGUCUUGGAUUUUAUCUGAGACUUCAAGUAUGUCCUAGGACAGAGAGGUGAAAGACCCAGAUGUAAUUCAAUUCUAGAAGUGAAAUUCAGGCCCAUGGGGUCGCCUUGGGAAAAGUUUGGAGGCCACCCUGGGUCUCAGUUGAGCAGGUUUUCAUACCAUGGCCUGAGAGCAAUUUUCUAGCCUUCCGUUGCUGUGAUCCAAUACUAAAGUAAGAUAAGUGCAGAUAACUGAGACACAGCCUACGCAGAAAAAGGCCUGGUUGGAAAAAUGCCCAGGUACACAGAGAACUCCUCCAGGAGCAGGUUGGGCUACCACAGUGCUUCUGUUUUGUUCUGUACUUAUAUUACAAUGGCAGCUGAUUCCCAUCAGUUGGUACAUGGAUAUAAUUGUCACUUUUGCUUCUGGUCCCUUUCCAGAAAAGAGUUAAGCCAUCUCUGUCCUUGCCAAGGCAUUGCUAGGUGGCUCUCACCUGGGGCCAGGACUCACCUGAACACUGAAUCCUUUGUUCCAUUGCCCUUCCUUUGUCAGACAAGAAGCAAAUAGUCAGAUCACUGUUCACUGGCAAACAGUGUUUUCCUUAGAACAUAGGCAAAGAGAAUGAGGUCAAAAGGUUUAUCACCUGGGGCCUUUUCUUUGUCAAAUCUUCAUCUAAUAACCAACAUUUUGGUAUAAUUGAAGCACCAAAUGGAGACAACCAUACAUGCAGUAAACUGCAUGAGUGUUCAAAUAGAAUGUGUCCAUGGAGAAAUACUCAGAAAUAUUAAUUUCCUUUGUUUUUCUUCUCAUGGUCACAGUGUCACCAGUGAGGACAGCUGGAAUGUGCAUGCUCUUGCAAAAAGAAUGGUCUCUGUUAAAACUUAAAAGAUACAGCUUCUCCCUGCUGUGUCCAUUGAUAAAUGCACUUCACUUGCUUAUCGGUUUUCUUGCAUUUUGAUUUAAAUGGGCAGGCACCUAAACUCCCAGCCAUUUGGAAAAAAAGCUGUGGGUUGAGAUAAAGAUAGUUUAACAGGACAGAAAAGGAAGGGAAAAAUUAUUAUUAUUAUUAUUAUUAUUAUUAUUAAUAAUAAUAAUAGAAUGUGCAAAACAAGGGAUGCACACUGCAGUAGCUCAUCAGUUCCUGAAUGAUGCCCAGCCAGUCCCUCAGCAGAGAUUGGUCUCUCCUGGCCAGCUUCCCCAGUUUUAUUAUUCAGCAUGAUGCCAUAUGGUAUGGAACGUCCCUUUGGCCAUUGGGAUCAGCUGUCCUGGCUGUAUCCCCUCCCAUCUUCGUGUACACUCCCAGCCUCCUCCCACUGGCAGGGCAGAGUGAGCAGCUGGAAAGUCCUUGACAAAGAGUAAGCACUACUUAGCAACAGCUAAAACAUCAGUGUGUUAUCAGCAUUUUUCUCUGCAUUAUUCUCAUCCUAAAUCCAAAACAUAGCACCGUACCAGUGUCCUGGGGUGACAGGACAUUUUCAUGCUUUGUAUCCCAAAUCGUGGUUGGUUUUCUUUUUUUUUGUUUUUGUUUUUUUAUUUUUUUUUCCCUGUUCCCGUGUGCCCAGUUUGUUUUGUCUGUGGCUGAGCCCCUGCUAGCUUUAGGCUGCUUUUGCUGGCUUUGCCCUUUGCUUUCUGCUUUUUGCUUGCUUUUUUGCCAUCUUUUUCUGCUUUUGUGUUUCCCCUUCUUUCCUUCCUCCCUUCCUUGAAGACAUCAGACCUGCUUCGGGCCCUGAUUCAAGAACAUCAAAGGAACACCCCCCGGAGUCUGCACGUAAAAGAAGCUUUAGCACCCUCCCCAGCAGAGACUACUCACCCUCUCUUAGACUAGUAAAAACAUUUCUUGUCAUCUCAGACUGUUUUCCUUGUGUUAGGGAGUGGUUUUUUUUCAUUGUUUCUCAAUAAACAAGUUUUUUCCACCUUCUCCUCUGAAGAAAUUCCUCCCGAACCCGGUAGUGAGAGAGAGAGUUGUAGAAUUUUGUCCUAAACUAAGACAACCAGCUACUAGGAAGAAAAUUACUUCUAUCCCAGCUGAAACCAUGACAAGCUUUGUACGCUGUAGUUCUUGUACUUUGAAGCCUUCUGCUGCCUCUGCUCUUUGAAUGCACCUCUGUGUGCAUUUAGAGUUAUAAAAAGAUUGAAGGAUUCCUCUAGGACUGCCUGUCUGUUAACACAUAAGGAUUGCAUGUAUCAAACAAGAAACCUAUAGACUUCCUGAAACCUAAAAUAAGAAAAGAAAAUUUGUAAUUACACCAGCCUUUCAUUGAUGAGCUCAGCUUGUUCAGUUGUCCUUAAAAGCCCAGCAACUGAGACAAGCAUGACAGCAGGGUCUGGAUGUUACAAUGUUUGAGUAAUUUUGGUUUUGAGAGGUGAGGAACUGACUUCCAACAUCAGAUUGCAAAAUCCACUCCACUAGCACCUGCCAGAGCUGCUAGUAACUAAUCCAAGAUGGCUCAGAGAUCUCAGAUUUCAGGCAUUUCACAUUCAGUAGAAAACAGCUUAAUCUCCAUCUCCUAAUCUUCAUGCCAUCAGUACAGAGUAUGGGGUCUGGGGUUUCCUGCAGCACAAUGGCAAUUAAUGUCUGUGUGCAGCUGAGGACAGGCAGGAGAGGAGUUUUUAACCUCUUUCCUCUUGCUAUUGAUUUCUCCUCUUAGAGCGUGCUGCUUUAGCUGCAGUGUUGUGUGUUGAACAUCUGCUUUGUUGCACCCCUGUCACGGUGCUGCUUUUGCACUGUGUGGCUUUUGGAGUGUUAAAGCUUUCAGUGAAGAGCAAGGUAAAGCUGGGGUUUGAUGGUUCCCUCGCUCAUUGCUUCUCCAGUGUCCCAUAUCUCCAGCUAGAGUGUGGGAGUCUGGGUGGGAGCUGGAAUCCAUGCUCACAUGCAUUGGCAGAAGGUGACAGCAGAGCCAGCUCUGCUCCCCCUCUUCUCCCUGCUGCAGCAGAAGCCAGAUCCAGAUGGAUAAAGCAAGAACAAUAUGAAUUAGGAUGGUGUAAACACACAGAAAAGGCAGCCUUAAUUAAUUCUAUCUUUUUACACUGACAUUAUGAAAACGUCAGCUCUACAUUCCUCUAACUGGAAAAAAAAAAAAAAGAAAAAAGUGAAUAAAAAGGAAAAAACCCCUAUUUUUAUUUGAGUAAGGCUUGUUUUUCUUGAAACUCUUGAAAAAUGUAACUAUACUGAAUAUACAAUGAACACUGUUUUUUCUAUGCUGCAUAAAAAUAUAUAUGACGAAUGAUUAUUUCUCAUCUUUAAGCAUUAUUUAUCCAUGCCUCUCUAGCCAGUUAUAUUUAGGAUGAGAUGAAUCAUGGACUGUUUCUGCCCAGUGACUGUAAAAGGAGUCUUAAAUGACCAUCUCAGAUGCAGAUGUCUUUUGCAACCGUUUUUGUUGUACUACUCUUCCUUAAUUUAGUUUCACAGCUUGGAUAGAAAAAUCUGUUUAUAAACCAGACAUCAGAUCUCAUAUGCCAAAACUAAACACAAAAUUAAUUGAUUUUAUGUAAUAAAAUUCCAUCUGGAGGUUGUACAAAAAUCGUAGGUGAUGAAAUAACCCCCACAAACAUCUCCAGAGGCAUGGCUUGCUGAGGUGGGUGCUUCGGUAUCCCGUGUGUGCAGUGGGUGGUGUGUAAGUACCAUGGCUCUCCCUGCCCAUCCCCUUGCCAGCAGCAAGCCUCCCCACCCCCAGCAGGACACACCAUGACACAGUGUUCUUAAAACCCUCUCUGCUGGGAUGGUGCUGUGGGCAUGGCACAGCACAGAUGUGGCCAGGUGUUGUUGGUGGUGUCACAGAUGGAUUAACAGAGUCUGCAGAUGGGCUGAACCAGUGACUGCUCGGGUCCUGCAGCCUGAGAAAGGAGCUUGCACAUGGUCUGGCCACAGGGAGCAUCAAACCUGGCUCCAGAAUGUGCAACCAGCUGCCCUGCUUUGCCUAAGCAAAUGAAUGUGAUGGAUGCUGGUAAAGAUCCCACCAGUGCAGAAGGCUGGGUAAUGGUCUUGGUGACCCACCCUAAUUCCAGCAUUGUGAGAUACAGUCCACCUUAAAGGAGAGUGGAUCACCUUCAGGGCCUGGUUGGGCUGUGAGCACCCCAUGCUCACAAACAGAGAGACAGAGCAGCCACGGGGAGCCAAGUCUGGAGCUGCCUGACCAGCCUCUCUGCCCAGUGAAGUGAAUAACCUCAUAUUGUAAAAAUGAUCUUCUGAAAUCUCAUUGGAAUCUCAAGGCUGCUAAUAAAGUCUUGUUCCACAUCCCUCACUUCCCCUCUCAUUAGCAAGGCAGAACCACUUGGGUUUACAUUUAAAAUGAGGAAUAAUCUGUUCUCUAAAUUAGGACAGCUGAGGAGUUUUUGUGCCCAGGGUAGCAGAGCAUCAGGAAUGAUGACAUUUGAAUACACAUUCUGGUGUCCAGGGGCAAACCCCCCACUAGUGCCCUGAGAUGUGAGGCAUAAAUAGACCACAUCCUACUCUGCAGGCAUAUACAUUUGACUUCUGAGUUUCUUUUCAAGGUCUUGUUUCCACUUACAGAAUUUAUUUACAGUCUGCUUAUAUGAAAUUUCAAACAU